CUCGGUAGGCUGCGGAUAACAGGACCAUUAAAUUACUGCCGAUGCCACUUGUGCCACCAGACCGUAUGAUUGCAGUCCGACAGCAUUCGCAACUGGUUUGGCGAUCGACCAAUAUAUAUAUAUCGAUCUCCUCUUUUUUCUCGGAACGACGAUCGAUGCACGCGAUAAUAAAACGAAAUACAUCGCGCGAUUACGAGCAACCAGUCGUCAACAUUCCAUGCGUAAAGAAAAACGUGGACAAAGACAGAAACGGAAGCGACGAGCGCUGGCAUUAGCGAACUAAUGGCAUAGCCUGAUGACAUCGAG